GGUGGCUGCGACUGUUUAAUAAAAACACAGCACUCUGCAAACACGAAAGUGGACGUAUAGGGUGUGAUGCCUGCCCGGUGCUGGAAUGUUAAUUGAUGGGGUUAGCGUAAGCGAAGCUCUUGAUCGAAGCCCCAGUAAACGGCGGCCGUAACAAUAACGGUCCUAAGGUAGCGAAAUUCCUUGUCGGGUAAGUUCCGACCUGCACGAAUGGCAUAAUGUUGGCGGCGCUGUCUCCAGCAG
rnacentral:rRNA from 1 species